UCACACUGGGGCCCCGCCUCCCAGCACCAUCGCCCUGGAGGUGAGGAUUAACACACACACCCGGCAGGGCGCAGGAACCUCCCACGAAGCGUGAGCCUCCCAUCUCUGCCACACCCAUCAUUCCAAGCGCAUGGGCUAACCCUGGGAAGCACACACUGCUGAGACGGCUUCCUCCUUUCAAAAUUCCACUGUGCUAGCCAAGAACAAUUUUACUAGAAGAAAAUACAUCUAUGAUAUUUACAUACAAAGAGUAAUAAAAACCACAGCCAAGAACAUGUGUCCAGGAAAUGAGGCCAGCUGCUGAGAAUGCCCCACACCAGGGUUCCCAGAGCCAGAGAGUGCACCCUCCCAUCUUGCGGGGGCUCUGAUCCCAGGCCUUGGGGUGGUGUGUGCAUCCCCUGAAACUGUACCCAAAGUUUUCUGCAUGAUCCCCCCACAAGUAGAGGAUCCAUGGCUUUCAUCACAUUCCAGGAGGAUUUGCAAUGCCCCGAAACUAAAAACGCGUGGUCUGAACACGGCUGGGCCUGGACUCAGAAGCUGAGGUCCGCCGUGCAGCAGCUCCCGCCCAAAAAUUGCCCACAAGUGGAAGGAAAGCAGGCUCCGAGCUCCCCAGAAGCCAAGGCAAGUGGGAAAACACCUGUCCCAGGGCACCUUCCAGAAUGACCAUGACUCGUGCGAUGGCUGGUACUUUGUGAACGUCUCCUCCAUUCCAGUAAGCUCCUAGAGAGGAUGGGGUCUUGCACCUCCCAGGCCGUUCAGACCUGGACCACAGAGCCCCCCGUGCACACACAGCACAUGGGAGCCAAUGGGAAACUCACCAGAGGGGCUGCUAUUUGGUUCCCACAUCUUUGCUUAGUAAAACUACCACCAACAUUAACUCACCAACAUCAUACGUGUAUUUACAUAUAUACGUUCACACAUAUAUAAAAAGACGCAGUGCCAACACUAAAAUAUAACAAACCCAAACAAGCGCAUCUUACAGAGAAGGAAGCUCCCAAACGCGCUGUAGAGGUUCACUAUAAAUGAGACACCAAGCCUCGGCCUGGCGCCCCUGACACCUGUGGCUCCCCGCUGGGGAGGGUCAAGCCGUGGUGACACAGGUGGGGAGGGUGUCGGAGCUCACACAGGGCCCCCACACCUGCACCGUGGCUCUGUAGCACCUCCACCUGGUCAUCUCAUGACCCCGCCUUUCUUGCAACCUGCCCCGGGAACAUGGUGAUGGUUCUGGCCAUGCCUGACCCUAUGCGUGAGGCUCCCAUGACCCGCUCCGUGACCCAGAGGCAAGCAGUGAGAAGAGGCCUGGUUCCUGGGCCGCUGCGGACCGUGGGCUGGCCAGGCCAGAUGCCGGGGCUCCUCCCACCUGGGAGCAGACUGCAGGAUUUACCAGGCCACCUCUGCUGUGGACGGUACAGGGGACAGGGCCAUAGCCGAUGGAAGACGACGCCACAGCUAUACAUGAGGGAGGGGCGGAUGGGGCCUGCGGUGACUCCCCAAUUCCACCCUCAGCACCUGCAGUGGAUUAAAUGGUGUCUCCCAAAAUGGGAAUAUGACUUUAUUUGGAAAUAGGGUAUUUGUAGGAUGAGAUAAAACCCAGACGGCCCGACCCACCCCUGGAGUGUCUGAUUCCCCAGGUCGGCGUGGGGCCUGGGAAUCCGCAUUUUAAUCUUCCAGGGGCAGCUCCCUGGCUCAGGUCCACCAGAAGACCGAGUCCCAGACCCUCCAUGUCAGGUCUUCACAGCCCCUGUGCUCCCAGCUGCCACCUGUGCUGAUGACCUAGGGGCCAGAGCGAGCCUGGGGCUUCUCCUCGGACCCCUUCCGUUCACCCUGCCUUUAUCUGACACUGCUGAGUAAGGACUGUGCUGAUUGCUGCCCCAGGGGCCCCAGUGAGCACGGAAGCAUGAUGAGAAGAUGGGGUGCAGUGGGGGCUGCAGGGAGCCAAGAGCUGACCAGGACAUUUUCAAGGGAAGAGGACUGUGCUGGGUGGACAAGGGGGCCAGGAGGCACCCCUGUCCUGGAGAACCACCCCCAGGCUGGGGAGAGCUGGAGGAGCAGGUGAGCAGGGCAUCUGGGUGAGCACUACUGCAAAGUCAUGAGAGUUUCCUGGAAGAGGGGGCACCUAAGCUGAGCUGGCAGGGGAGCCAAGAGGUCAGGAGGCAGCUCCUGAUAAAGCCUGGAGUGACUGCUCACCUCUCACUGGCCCUCACCCACUCCCCUCCAGCCGGAAAGCCUCCUCCCUGGGGUCAGGGGUCUUUCACACAUCUCAUGUGAUAGCUGGCACUGGGUGAUGGCCCUUAGCUUUCCAGAGGGCCCAUUCCACACAUGUGACAACCCUAGGUCAGGCGCAGCAGUGAGCAUCACUCCUCAUGGGCAAAUGAGGAAACAAAGGCAUGAAGACUCCAUCUCGGCCGCGCAGGUGGAUCCGAGCCCCACAGGGGUCUCACAGCUACAGGAUGGUGGCUCUGGCCCUGCCCACGUCCCCAUCUUUGGGUUCCCAGGGGUCAGCUUGACGCAGCCUGGACCUUCCCUUCCAAGUAGAACUGACCUGAGCCUCCAAGCCAAUCCCGGGGCUGGGGGCAGGAUUUCCCCUGACAACUGGGCUCCCUCUUCUUACCAAGCAAUAGACGCUGGCUGGCCAGGGCCAAGAACAGACUAAACACCCAUCCUAGGUCACUGGAGCGCCUGACAUCUCCAUGGGCCCUUCCUGAUCAGAUGCAGCCAGGUGGGUCCCAGGCAGGUUCUGGGCCCGAGUGCCACCCUCCAUCUCAGGGAUCCCAGAUGCAUCUCAGAAAGCCUGUGUCGCUGAGGGAUUCUUUCUCACCCUGAUGACACACAGGCGGUCACGGGCAACAUUUCUCCUGGGGCCUGGUGAGACGCAGAUGCAGCCCGGUGCAGCAUCAGGCCCCUCUUGCCUGGGCAGCAGGUGCC